UACAGAGGGUGCAAGCGUUGUUCGGAAUUAUUGGGCGUAAAGCGCGUGUAGGCGGCUUUGCAAGUCGGGUGUGAAAGCCCUCGGCUCAACCGAGGAACUGCCGUCCAAACUGCUUCGCUUGAGACCGGGAGAGGUGAGUGGAAUUCCCAGUGUAGCGGUGAAAUGCGUAGAUAUUGGGAGGAACACCAGUGGCGAAGGCGGCUCACUGGACCGGUACUGACGCUGAUGCGCGAAAGCGUGGGGAGCAAACGGG
rnacentral:rRNA from 1 species